rnacentral:rRNA from 1 species
AUGUCAUACUCCUGGCGAAGUAUCUUGAAGGGGGUCAAGGUGCUUAAUGAGGGUGUUAUUUGGCGAGUGGGAAAUGGUUUAAACAUAAACAUUUGGAAUGAUCCAUGGCUACCGCGAAGCUCAACGAGGAGGCCAAUCACAGUAAGAGGAAGAAACAUGUUACUACACAAAGUAUCUAAACUCAUAAACCCUGUGACCAGAAGCUGGGAUGAAGAAUUAGUCUAUCAAACCUUCUGCAAUGAAGAUGCCAAUCUCAUUAUGCAGCUGCAAGUAAAUGAGUCAGCGGAUGACAAUUUAGCUUGGCAUUAUAACAAAGGGACUUGCAGAGGCAGCAUGAGCAGGGAGGUUGAGCCAUAUCAUGGAUGCUCUCCAAGCAAAAAGCCUAGCCCUCAUCGGAGCAAUUGAAAGAGCAAAUGAUUUGGAGUGUCAAAAUGUCAUUUUUGAAACUGAUUCCCGUGUGCUGCAACAAACAAUCUCUACUGAAGAGUAUGAUGCUUCCCUAUGUGGUGCUCUAUUCAUGAAGGCAAGAAGACUUUUAUGGUUGUAUUUUAAUGAUGUAAAAAUUGUGUGGGUUCCAAGAGUCUAUAACUAUGUAGCCCAUGUUUUAGCGUCUCAUGGCGCUGGUUUGGAGUCGGGAGACCAAGUUCACUGGCUCUGCGAUGUCCCAGACUUUGUAAAUUCUGCAGUUACCAGCGAUUUAGCUGGCCUGCCUGAGUAA